CGGACAAUACUCUGAC
rnacentral:rRNA from 1 species